rnacentral:pre_miRNA from 1 species
UUUUGAUUGUUGCUCAGAAAGCCGGGUGUUAGAAAGGCUUUCGGGCAAUAAUCAUUUCC